rnacentral:rRNA from 1 species
UGGGGAAUAUUGCACAAUGGGGGAAACCCUGAUGCAGCGACGCCGCGUGAACGAUGAAGUAUUUCGGUAUGUAAAGUUCUAUCAGCAGGGAAGAUAAUGACGGUACCUGACUAAGAAGCACCGGCUAAAUACGUGCCAGCAGCCGCGGUAAUACGUAUGGUGCAAGCGUUAUCCGGAUUUACGUGGGUGUAAAGGGUGCGUAGGUGGCAUGGCAAGUCUGAAGUGAAAUGCGGGGCUCAACCCCUGAACUGCUUUGGAAACUGUCAGGCUAGAGUGCAGGAGAGGAAAGCGGAAUUCCUAGUGUAGCGGUGAAAUGCGUAGAUAUUAGGAGGAACA